rnacentral:pre_miRNA from 1 species
AUUCGGGUUGAGAUCCUCUACAGUACCGUAUGGUGCUGUAGUGUGGAUGACAUGUGGGGCCAGGUCUCACAUGGCAGUGACUGUACAGCACCGUACAAUGCUGCAGAGGAUCCUAACCCCAG